GGCUGCAUAGCUCAGUUGGUCAGAGCACAUCACUCAUAAUGAUGGGGUCCCUGGUUCAAAUCCAGGUGCAGCCA
rnacentral:tRNA from 1 species